CCUGUCUCAGCCCUGCUGCUGCGGUUGGUGCACCCAUCUGGGUCCAGACCCAUAGCCACUGGGGGCAGUGGCAUGAGUCUUCACGGAGCGUCUUAUUCUUGAUACUCAUCGUAUUCUCCCUGCCCAGAGGCCCUUGUAGGACAUGUGAAUGCCAGUGCUCAUGGAGAAAGGUGGAGGAAGAGAGCCAGAGCGCAGUUCACCUCUGGGAGAGCAGACCAGAGUGGCUUCCGUGGGCACAUGCUGGAUUGAAGUGA
ensembl:lincRNA